GUCUGACAUUUUGGUCCGGCCACUGCUACGGCCCUCUUCCUUGCAUGCCACGCUGUUUUCUUCGUCUUUCCAGUUCGCUCGCUGUCGAGAACUUACAUAUGUACCCUACGCUUUGCCACAAACCAUGUCGUAUCUGAUUUGACCCAGCCAGAUGGUCCUAUCCAAGCAUGAGCGAGGCGUUUUCGAGUCAGACCGAGUAUCCCAUUGCAAGAUUCAUACCUAACAAGCCAUCGUCAUCCUUCAACAUGGUGAUCGACAACAAGGACUUUGGCUAUGGCCACCAAGGGAGGCACUACGCGGGACGCUAGAUACACGCAUCUAUUCAUUUAGAUAGUACGUAAAAAAUGUUUUCCACUUGUUUAUUUAUUUAUACUAAGCUAAGUUUUGAUGAAUAAAACUAUUGAAAAAUCA